AUUGAACGCUGGCGGCAGGCCUAACACAUGCAAGUCGAGCGGAUGAAGGGAGCUUGCUCCUGGAUUCAGCGGCGGACGGGUGAGUAAUGCCUAGGAAUCUGCCUGGUAGUGGGGGAUAACGUCCGGAAACGGGCGCUAAUACCGCAUACGUCCUGAGGGAGAAAGUGGGGGGUCUUCGGACCUCACGCUAUCAGAUGAGCCUAGGUCGGAUUAGCUAGUUGGUGGGGUAAAGGCCUACCAAGGCGACGAUCCGUAACUGGUCUGAGAGGAUGAUCAGUCACACUGGAACUGAGACACGGUCCAGACUACUACGGGAGGCAGCAGUGGGGAAUAUUGGACAAUGGGCGAAAGCCUGAUCCAGCCAUGCCGCGUGUGUGAAGAAGGUCUUCGGAUUGUAAAGCACUUUAAGUUGGGAGGAAGGGCAGUAAGUUAAUACCUUGCUGUUUUGACGUUACCAACAGAAUAAGCACCGGCUAACUUCGUG
rnacentral:rRNA from 1 species